AUGGACCCAACUGAGAUUUUGAACGUUCGGUUUCAUAUUGGAGGGAAGUUCAUCCGCAUUGGUCCAAAUUUGGACUAUGUUGGGGGAGAUCAAGCAAUGUCAGAGAUUGAGAGGGAUAAAUUGUCUCUGCAGGAAGUGAAAGGCUAUUUAAAAGAUCAUACUCAGUUGAUGGAAUCAAUGAAGUUCUAUUUUAUGCUUCCUGGAAAAGAGCUUAUCAAUGGCUUGGUGUUCCUUAAUGAUGACAGUUGGUGUGUGAAGAUGGCUGAGUACAUUUGUGUUGGAGGGGUUGCUGAUGUGUAUGUGGAGUAUCAUGGAGAGGAAGAUAGAAAUGACAACAGCAGUGGGAGUGAUUUUGAGGAUGAAAUCAUGGAACAGAGUGAUGAUGAUGAACUAGAUGCAGUUAUAACUGCUGAAGAACCA
rnacentral:rRNA from 1 species